UGGGGAAUAUUGCACAAUGGACGGAAGUCUGAUGCAGCGACGCCGCGUGGGGGAUGAAGGCUUUCGGGUUGUAAACUCUUUUUGAUGCUGAACAAGGCUCCUUUUAGGGUUGAGGGUAGGUGUUGAAUAAGCGCCGGCUAACUACGUGCCAGCAGCCGCGGUAAUACGUAGGGCGCGAGCGUUGUCCGGAAUUAUUGGGCGUAAAGGGCUCGUAGGCGGUUUGUCGCGUCUGCUGUGAAAGACCGGGGCUUAACUCCGGGGUUGCAGUGGGUACGGGCAGACUAGAGUGCGGUAGGGGUAGCUGGAAUUCCUGGUGUAGCGGUGGAAUGCGCAGAUAUCAGGAGGAACACCGAUGGCGAAGGCAGGUUACUGGGCCGUUACUGACGCUGAGGAGCGAAAGCAUGGGGAGCGAACAGG
rnacentral:rRNA from 1 species